rnacentral:lncRNA from 1 species
UUUUUUUUUUUUCUCUUUUAAACACAUAACCAUUUAAUCAGUUCAUUUUGGCAACAUAAACAAGCUGAUAACAUUUGUCCUUUAAUCUGUCUCUUAUUUUGGUAUAUGUAGACAGACUCUUUUUAUUGUUUCUUGAGACCAUAAAGAGAAAAGCAAGGAUAUUGUAAAUGUGCAGAGGCAUACCAGUCAGAUUACCAAGAUAAAAACAGAAAAGAAGGAAAAAAGUAUAAACAUACUUGACAAUGAAGAAGAAAAAAACAUUACAGUGACACACAGGUAACUUUCUUUAUUAACUUCCAUGAUGCGGCCCUAAAAAGCAAAAAAAUAAAAAAUAAGUUAAGUUUUGGUUUUAGGCAAUUUCCUCUUCCCACCUUUUUUUCUUUUUCUUCUAAACUUGCUAAAGGUAACCAAGGCUUGGUCUCUGGGCUUAUCUGAGGGGAACUUAUAGACAGCUAAGAGACUUUAGGAAGAAAAACUCUCCUCAAAGUAGAUCAAAAGAAACAUAUGACUGGGGGGAAAUGAAAAUGAAUAAAAGCAAGUAAUUUUAAAAGCUUCGAGGAAAGUGUGCAUCAGAAUUACUUUUUCAUUUGUCCAAAAAUCUCACCUAGUUUCAAACGCCACUAGUUAGCAACUGACAAUUCAGGAUCCACUUUAUCCACAAGGAGGGCAGCAUGCCAGAUGCUCACUGUUCUCAGAAGUUAGUCCCACUGUGAGAGGCAAAGGAGUGAGGAGGAAGACGAUUAGCCCUUCUAGACUAUUGGCUGAAUUCCUAGCAAUGGUGUAAGUCAAAUACCAUCUUGUGUUUCUGGAGUAAUUUUACGGGGUUAAAAAUAUUCCACACAGAUGAUAUUUUAUUUUUAUUUAUUCUCUCAUCAUCACCUACAUUCUUAUGAGAUACUGAUACUAAUGUGGAAAUUACAAAAAAUAGUAUUAGCUACUGAUCACUAAUAUAUGAUUAUAAACACAGAUUUCUGAUCAGAAGGCUCUCUUUACACUGUGGGGUUGUUAACUUAAUGAAACUGUAGCAAAGUUAUUUAUGAAGACCCUCUGUUUCUCAGGUUUAAGAGUUUUAAUCCUGAUUUAGCGCUUAUUUCUCUUGAUCAAGUUUAUUUUUGGACUUAUUUCCACUUUUUGGAAGAAACAUGUAAAAGCUGGUACUCUGAAGCAUAAACAAUCAGAAAGAAAGAGAAAGUGAGAGGGGAAGGAGAGAGGAAAAGAAUAAAAAAUUGCUUCCCUCUUUCCAAGAACUGGAAAUUUAGGGAAUUAAGACUAUUAAAAUAUUUGAUCUCCACCUUCUAAUCUGCCCUCUCCUUUGCCCACCUAUUGACAAAUCUAUUGAAGUUAGGCACACAGCUUGAGCCUUUGCUGUACUAAUUCAAAGUUUGGAUUUUUUAAAGUUCCAUGGAAUUGGAAAAAUGUUGUAAAUCAAGUAUACUUUAAGAAAAGGAAGAAAAAAAAGUUCCAUGGAGAGGAAGGAUCUCUAGGGACCUCUGAAAGGCACAGUACUUAAAGAGAAAGAUAAGCAGGGAGAUAGUUGGAGGUGAGAAUAGUAUCUGUACUUGGAUCCCAGCCUAACACACUGUGUCUUACGGAGAGGAAAUUACAUUUGAGAGUUAAAAAGAAGAGCCGAUUUACUAAAAUCACAUCAAGAUAGAGAAAGCAUAAGGCAAUAAACCUUACUUGUUACAUCACAAAUAUUUACUUCAAGAUAGGAGAAGGGGUACUGUUUGAGGACAUGACAGAUGUCUGAACAGGAAGCUAUGCUUAUCUACAUUUGAAAUUGAGAGACAAUGGAACAGAGCAAGGAGCUUAGGCACAAAUCAUCAUAUUUUUGGCUCUGGCAUCAGGAUCUUUAAUGGCAGACAUGGCUCCAGGAAGUAGGAGAGACUGAAAAUAUUCCCUGUCUGUAGUUGCUAAGAACACAGGUGAGACAUGGCUUCUGGAAUUACUUAGAAGGGAUUUGAGAGGCCUGGGUUUUGUUAAUCAAGCAAAUAGGAGCAGCACUAGAAAAAUAUUAUUUUUGCCAAUGUUGUUGUGACCCUAUUUUAUGGUCCAUGACCUGUGCAAACAAAGGGCCUAAGACACUUAGUUUACGUGCAGUUUUGAAUUCUUCAUUGUAUUCACAAACAAUGCAGAUUCUACCUGUUGGGAGUUAGAGACUGAAGUUCAGUUCACAAAGAUGCAUGACACAGUAGCUGACUUUAGACUUUAUGCAUUUAGAGAAAACAAUUAACAGUAGUUUUCUUCAAGGGAUCUGGGAGUUUAAAAGUUAUAGGUGUAAAUGUAUAUGACCCAGAUUUUCUUCUCUCUCACAAAUUAGUUUUUUUUUGUUUUUUUUUUUUUUUUGUAGUAAAUCAGAUUUAGUUGUUAUGGCAAGAAGGAAGGAAGGAAAGGGAGGAGAGAGGGGAGGAUGGAGGACCAGCUUAGUUGUUUGGUUGACCUGCUUAAUUCAUUUUGGACCACCUCAAAAUUUUUUAAACAGAUUUGACAGGUAAGUCAAAGGAGUAAAACCACUUUGUUAGUCCAAAUGCCCCAGAGGAUAUGACUUUAAAUCCCUAGUGUGAAUGGUAGAGUUCGGCUAUGUGUAAGAGCUGGGUAUGGUUAGGGAGCAUCCAUAGAGUCUGGUAUGGCGAAAAAAAAAAAAAAAAA